rfam:Gossypium raimondii Chr01_contig_1316, whole genome shotgun sequence.
UGUUAAAUAUUUUAUCAUUUUUAUUGUUAAAAAUUGAAAUGGUUGAUGAAAUAAUAAAACAGGUACACAAACCUUAUACUGAUGUACAAGAAUCAAUUUUUAAGAGUAAAAAUGGAUGAAACUUUAACA